rnacentral:lncRNA from 1 species
UAGGUCUUCACCCGAUGCCUCCCCACAAAGCAUCCACGCGGCGAUCCACAGCCUCUGCAGCCAGAUCUCAGGCUCCGACCUCACCUUCAGUUUUCCAGCCUCCUCCCCCUCCUCCGACAAUGACGGUUGGCACGGAGUAAUUUGACCUACUGGUGUAGCAGGUCAGAGGCCUCACUGAAGCUGUGCAGGCCAUACAACAGUAGCAGCAGGC